rnacentral:lncRNA from 1 species
GGCAGUUAUACUGUCUAAGUUUUCAAUUCAGACAAUAGGGUAACUGUAUCACUAAAAAAGAAAAGCAAAACUGAUAAAUGUUACAUACCAGUAGACAGUUAUAUAGUGUGCAUCCACUGUGAAUAAAGCAGAAAGUUUCUUGAGGUAGCUAUGUCACAUAUCGCAGGUUUAUUAAAAUAAAAUUGAAGCUCCUAUCUUAAAGGCUUAAAAGUACCUUAUAUAUAUAUAUUUACAUAACAUUUUUAAAUGGAAUUACAAUAGGGCUUUAUUUUUAGAGCCAGUAAGCAUCGGUUGAUGUGAGAGGGCAGCUGUAGUGUUCAGUGGAGCUUUGCAUCUCUGCAUGACAUUGCUCAAAGCUCUGUUCAUAGUGCACAAAUUAUUUUUUGCCUAAAGUCUUCUUCAAACAUCUCUACGCAGAUCAAUCAGUCUGUCAUCGAGCAAAUGAAGAACAUACUGUGUGAAGUCCACUGCACCAAGUAUUUCCAUGCUGUCCCUUAGGUACCCCCAGAAAGCAUACACAUUUGCAAAAGCUAAUACUCACUUUUCUCCCCCUCUAUGUGGGCCUAAGACUAAACGGUGUAAGAUUUCUUCUGAUCAACAACCUAAAAUUCAGUUAACUAUUAAGAGCCAGCAUUACAUGUGCUAUCGGUGAAUCUUAGCUUAAGAUGCACAUUUCUCAUUUCAGCUGUUCUCAUGCUGUGUGUGCUGACACAGCUUUCCACUGCCUCCCAGCCACACAUUGCAUAAUGCUUUGGGAAACUAAGCAAUAGUCGCUCUCGGUUUUAGUUUCUUGUUGGUAAAGCUUGUUUUCAUACUGUUCUAUAGGUUCACUUUUUAUCGGUCUCUGUUCUGUACUGAAUGCUUCAGAGUCUGAAGAGAGGCUGCUGCAAGUUGUGUGGGAUGAGUCUUUUCAAACAUUAGUCCUGCUGCUUCACUAUUACAAACGAGUUAACCUUUGAAGGUCCCUUCCAACUCAACUGAUUCUACUCUCUGAUUUUCAGCAGCUGAAGAGAUACAUUCUUCUUUUCCUAUCACUAGCAGAUGGAUGCAGGUUUAGAAGUUAUGCUUUCCUGAGAGUGGAGUCCUACCUGCCAGCCUCACGGACGAAGAGCCGCGAAGGUAAAUCUUCACGGCCGGAAUAUCCGCG